rnacentral:rRNA from 1 species
AAAUCCAUAAGCUCAACUUAUGGGCUGCCGAAAAUACUGCAGAACUAGGGAGUGGGAGAGGUAGACGGUACUCGGUAGGAAGGGGUAAAAUCCUUUGAUCUAUUGAUGACCACCUGUGGCGAAGGCGGUCUACCAGAACACGUUCGACGGUGAGGGAUGAAAGCUGGGGGAGCAAACCGGAUUAGAUACCCGGGUAGUCCCAGCUGUAAACGAUGCAAACUCGAUGAUGCGUUGGCUUGUUGCUAGCGCAGUGUCGCAGGGAAGCCGUUAAGUUUGCCGCCUGGGAAGUACGUACGCAAGUAUGAAACUUAAAGGAAUUGGCGGGGGAGCACCACAAGGGGUGAAGCCUGCGGUUCAAUUGGAGUCAACGCCUGAAACCUUACCCGGAGAGACAGCAGAAUGAAGGUCAAGCUGAAGACUUUACCAGACAAGCUGAGAGGUGGUGCAUGGCCGUCGCCAGCUCGUGCCGUGAGAUGUCCUGUUAAGUCAGGUAACGAGCGAGAUCCCUGCCUCUAGUUGCCACUAUUACACCCUGGUGUAGUAGGGCGAAUUAGGGGGACCGCCGCAGUUAAUGCGGAGGAAGGAAGGGGCCACGGCAGGUCAGUAUGCCCCGAAACUCUGGGGCCACACGCGGGCUGCAAUGGUAACGACAAUGAGUUCCAAAAUCGAAAGAUAGAGGUAAUCCCUAAACGUUACCACAGUUGUGAUUGAGGGCUGCAACUCGCCCUCAUGAACAUGGAAUCCCUAGUAACCGCGUGUCAUUAUCGCGCAGUGAAUACGUCCCUGCUCCUUGCACACACCGCCCGUCGUUUCAUUGAAGUUUGCCUUUAGCGAGGUGAUGUCUAAUUGGCAUUAUCGAACUUGGGGUAAGUGACAAGGGAAAAGUCGUAACAAGGUGACCGUAGGGGAACCUGCGGUCG